rnacentral:rRNA from 1 species
CACGGAGUUAGCCGGUGCUUAUUCCUCUGGUACCGUCAAGUGAGAAAGAAUUCCCUUUUUCGUCCCAGAUAAAAGAAGUUUACAAUCCAGAGGACCUUCAUCCUUCACGCGGCAUGGCUGGUUCAGACUUUCGUCCAUUGACCAAUAUUCCUUACUGCUGCCUCCCGUAGGAGUCGGGCCCGUGUCUCAGUGCCCGUGUGACUGGUCGUGCUCUCACACCAGUUACUGAUCGAAGGCUUGGUAGGCCGUUACCCUACCAACUACCUAAUCAGGCGCACGCCCAUCCAAAACCGCCGGAGCUAUAAUAAUAAAGUGAUGCCACUUCAGUAUGUUACGGUGUAUUAAUCCUCCUUUCGGAGGGCUAUUCACCAGUUUUGGGAAAGUUGCGUACGUGUUCCGCACCCGUUUGCCGGUCGCCACCAGGUAUUGCUACCCGUGCUGCCCCUCGACUUGCAUGUAUUAAGCCUGCCGCUAGCGUUCAUCCUGAGCCAGGAUCAAACUC